rnacentral:rRNA from 1 species
UGGGCUGCAAAAGAAGUGGGUAGUUUAACCUUUCGGGGAGGACGCUCACCACUUUGUGGUUCAUGACUGGGGUGAAGUCGUAACAAGGUAGCCCUAGGGGAACCUGGGGCUGGAUCACCUCCUUAUACGAAGAUA